rnacentral:rRNA from 1 species
UACAGAGGUCUCAAGCGUUGUUCGGAUUCAUUGGGCGUAAAGAGCUCGUAGGCGGCUUGUUGCGUCGGCUGUGAAAACCCAUGGCUCAACCGUGGGCUUGCAGCCGAUACGGGCAGGCUAGAGUUCGGUAGGGGAGACUGGAAUUCCUGGUGUAGCGGUGAAAUGCGCAGAUAUCAGGAGGAACACCGGUGGCGAAGGCGGGUCUCUGGGCCGAUACUGACGCUGAGGAGCGAAAGCGUGGGGAGCGAACAGG